GCCAGGUGGGGUGGUGCCUGCCUGUCAUUCCAGCAUCUCGGGAGGCUGAGGCAGGAGGAUCUCAAGUUCAAGACAGCCUCAGCUACUUAGCAAGGCCCUAAGUAACUCAGGGAGACCCUGUCUCUA
rnacentral:sRNA from 1 species